CCGGCAACACGCUUGACGUUCUUCUUCGUCUUCUUCGUCUUCGUUAGAGGCUCCGGCAGGCUGUACGAAGCUGCCCUCCACCGUUACAGAGUAGUCACUUCAGGUUAUAUUCUUGUGGCCGACCUUUCUAAUAUAAGCAGACCACGCCUACAGGUGGAGGGGAGAAGAUGAGGAGACGUUUCCUAAGCAGCGCAAACUUCCACAGCACCAUUAUCUGCUCCCCGAAGAACUGGAUGAACUGGGACAUGCAGCCAGCUGGACCUUCAUUUCUGGGUGCAUACAGCGGUUGAUGGAGGUGACGCUCCAGGUUGGGCAAGCGGUGACCAACCCGUUUCCCAUAGGGGGAAGGACAGCCUUCUUAUCCUCGUAGAAGGCUUCCAGUGGAGAGUACUGGCCUGGACACUGCAGCUGGUGUCUACAAGGCAAUAACAGGAGGAGGUGCCAUAUCACUAUUACACUUUUCUUGGGCUGCACUCACUCAGCUCCUGCACACAGUGUGUUUGAAGGCUUGGAAAUCAGACCAGGAAGUCCGUUUCUCUUGGAAGUGAUGCCCCACUGGUUUGAUCGUGAAUCUUAAUAUGUUUGACAACACCACCUCUAUAGUGUCUCUGCUUAAGAGCAGCAUUACCCCCUUCACUCCCAUGACUCAGUAUAAUGCACUGAAGCACAUCAGACACAGAGACGCUUCAGGAUAACAAUCCUUCAGAUUGCCUGGUCAACAACAAUUUGAUCCAUGACCUGACAACUAAUCGGAUGCCUCUUCUGCAAUUCGCUC